rnacentral:piRNA from 1 species
UUUGGCUGCUGAUUGAAGGAAGAACU